rnacentral:rRNA from 1 species
CCUACGGGAGGCAGCAGUGAGGAAUAUUGGUCAAUGGACGAGAGUCUGAACCAGCCAAGUAGCGUGAAGGAUGACUGCCCUAUGGGUUGUAAACUUCUUUUAUAAAGGAAUAAAACGAGGCACGUGUGCCUUUUUGCAUGUACUUUAUGAAUAAGGAUCGGCUAACUCCGUGCCAGCAGCCGCGGUAAUACGGAGGAUCCGAGCGUUAUCCGGAUUUAUUGGGUUUAAAGGGAGCGUAGAUGGGUUGUUAAGUCAGUUGUGAAAGUUUGCGGCUCAAACGUAAAAUUGCAAUUGAUACUGGCAGUCGUGAGGACAGUUGAGGUAGGCGGAAUUCGUGGUGUAGCGGUGAAAUGCUUAGAUAUCACGAAGAACCCCGAUUGCGAAGGCAGCUUACUAAACUGUGACUGACAUUGAUGCUCGAAAGUGUGGGUAUCAAACAGGAUUAGAUACCCCGGUAGUC